rnacentral:lncRNA from 1 species
UGAGGACACAGUAACACGUAUUACAUUUGUAUACAUUUACUUACAUUUUUAUUUAUUGAUUUAUUUAUUUAUAUAUUGCACAUAAACAUGAAAAUAAAAGUAGGAGUUUUUUUUUUUUUAAUGUCUCUUUACCUUCUUAAGAAGGACUUGUAUGCCAAAGAGCGUUAUGAAUCUGCAAUCAAAGAUCAUAAUGGAAAAUUGAGCGUACCAUUUACAAACAAGCAAUCAGAAGAUAACGAAAUAUUCAAUCAAGAGUUCGAAAAACUAUUUCAAGUAGACAGAGGUGCGAAUACAAACAGUAAAAAUAAUAAAAAUGAUGGAGAUGAUUUGACGUUAAAUAUUCUAGAAGAAAAUGAAGAAUUCUUAACAAAACAAAUAUUAAUGGAUUUGUCUAACAAAUUUAUUGUUGAUGUUAUAAAUGAUAAUACGAUGCAAUUUUUAGAAAAUUUAAAAAAAGAAAAAUAUGAAAAUUUAAUGAAUACUAAUGCCAUAGAUGACCUCAUAGAUAGCGACACUAAUACUAGUGAAAUUAAUACACAUAACAAAGACACAGACAUUAACAAAAAUGAUGAAGAAGAUAGCGUUGAUGAAUUUCAAAUCGAACUUGAAGAAAGCUGCUCACCUUUUGCUUGUGAAAAAGUUAUGAUAGCAAGAGAAUUAAUGAAAGACGAUGAAGCAAAAGAAUUAAUGAAAGACGAUGAAGCAAAAGAAUUAAUGAAAGACGAUGAAGCAAAAGAAUUAAUGAAAGACGAUGAAGCAAGAGAAUUAAUGAAAGACGAUGAAGCAAGAGAAUUAAUGAAAGACGAGUUAGAUAAUAAUAAUAUGAGCGAUAAUGACACAGACAACAUGAACGAAAUAAACGACACAAAUGCAAAAUCAAAUGUUGAAGCAUUUUAUACCGAAUCGAUUGGUGAUGACAUAGAAAAUAAAAAAUUUAUAGUAACUGACGGGGAUAGUAUAUAUAUAUUAGAAGAAGUGGAGGAAGAUAAGAAUAAAGCUGAUAUCACAAAUGAUAAUGUAAUAUUAAACAAAAAUACAGGAGAACAAGAAAUUAAAAUGCAUGUCCCUACAGAUAAUUCUCAAUUAAAUAAAGAAGAAGAAGAAGAAAUGCAAAAGUUUUUAGAACAAUUAAAUUUAGACUUAUUGAAUGAACAAAAUGAAAACGAAUCAAAUGAUGAUAUAAUUGAUGAUGCUAAAACAGUUCAAACAAAUGUCGAAAAAAACAUACGCGAACAUAACAAUACAGAUAAUGAAUUUAACAGUAAAAAAAGUGACGAUAUUUAUAAUAUAUUUGAACAAGAGGACUUGAAUGAAAAUUUUUUGAAUAAUAAAUUGUUACAAUUAAAUGAAGAAGAAUUAACAAAAAAAAUAUUUGAUGAUAUACAAAUGAAUAAUGAAGAUAAAAUCCAAUGUCACAAUUUUUCGGAUAAUGAAAAUAAAUGCAACUCUUAUAAAAAAUGUACUUAUGUGAAUAUUGAUAAUAAUGAUUUGUGUUUCUUAGAUUAUAAUUAUAUGUUAUUUUUAAAAAGAAAUAAUUGUGCCUUACAAUCAAAAUCGGCUCUUUUGUCCAUAUCCAAGGAUUUGUUAAAGUAAAGAAA